CUUGGCGACCAUAGCAUUUUGGACCCACCUGAUUUCCAUGCCGAACUCAGAAGUGAAACGAAAUAGCGCCGAUGGUAGUGUGGGGCUUCCCCA
rnacentral:rRNA from 4 species